GACCAUCAUGUGUUUUGACUCUGAAAGAGUUUCAGUGAAUUACUAAAAUGUAAUUUCACUAAACGUCUAAAAAACAUUCAAUGCAUGAAGCCCAUGUAACCAGGAAGGCAAUGGCAGCUUUUCCAUUAAGUGUUUUAGUCAGACUUUCCCUUGAAAGGUAGACUCCAUCUUAGAAACCCCAAUAUCAAUACACAGUGGCUGAGGAACUUUUUUUUUCUGUAGAAAAAGAUUUUAAUUUAGACUGUUCUCUGAAGCACCACUGCUUAGUAACAUUCCCAAAGUCACUUACUCUUAAAUAUACAAAGAGGGAUUUACCUAAAAAUACCUGAAAAUCCAAGGUGACUAAGCACAAAUACUCUUGACUCACUUGACUCACUAUUAAGUCUGUUUACUAAGUUCAGUGAUUUUUGUGAAUGCCUUUCAGAGGGCAGCUGAUGUGAGGCCUCCUUAGCCUGACAGACAGGGUUCCAGAACUGACAGUGUGUCUGGGCUAAGGUCUUAGUAAAUUAGCACUUUGAAAAUCCUCAGAAAUGUUCUUCUCUUCAGUUAUGUGGAGGACUCAGGAUAAAAUUAUGAGUGCACAGGCAAGCAACUUAUGCUGUCCUGGUUCUUUCCCUGCUCUAUAAAAAUUAGUAAGAUACAAUUCUGUUCCAGGCAUGGAAAAAGAUAUGCAACAAUUGAAAAAAUACUUUAUUAUAUGGAUUUUACAGUUCUUAUGUGGUUUCAAAUAUGUGCAUUGUAUGUUACCCCUACAGUUCUAUUGCCUGGGCACGAUAAGACUUGCCUCGAGUUGUCUGUUCCCUGCUUUCUCCACUCUUCCCUGUGGUUGGCUGAAAAAGCUGCAGUGUGGAGAGAGCUACCAUUGGUCCUUUCCUUUCCCAGUUCCUCCCUCUUCUCCCGAGUCCUUACUCCUAUUCGUUCCCCUGGUUGUCUGUCUCAUGCUCCACCCAAUUUGCUGGCACUUUCUACACCAGAACUUACAUAAACCCUCGCACAUCCUCAAUUAACAGCCAUUGCACCCGACCUCCAACUUCAAUUUGGGCCCUUUGGGCAAUGUCAUGGUCCCACUCCCCUCUCCCCCGGACCGUGGCACAAUUCUAAUAGAAUGGUUUUCUCUUAUGUUAAGGUGCUCUGAGUGGAAGCACCAUCCACUGUUCUGAAGUGUUUUAUAAAAGAAAGAAUCUCAAAGGAUGAGCAGGUGCAAGCAUGAUGGGAGGUUUCAGGCUGCUCAUUUGCUAAAUUCCUAUUCCUUUUAGGUCAGAUUUUUUAGACAAUGAAAGUUCACAUCUAUUAGCUUUCAUCUAUUUCAAUAUUAAGCAAAAAUUGAAGUGGGAUAUCUUGCUUUUUGAGUCUUUCUAAUGCCAGGGUGCAGCUAACACAGUGAGAGUCGGAUGUACAGUGACCCUGCAGAGUCUGAUUCACGUGCUUAUAUGCUGCUCUCUCAAUGGUUUGCAUGGAUAUUUGUUGGAGGUGCCCCGAUGGAGACCUAUGAGUGGUGGAGAGAAGUUGCUAAAAAGAAAUCAGAAGAAGAGGAAGAAAAACUAUUGGAAUGUACUUACACCUUGGUGCACUGAAUGUGACUGUUGGGACCACGAGAGUGUUUGUUUCAGCGUGUAUUUGCUCCAUUAUGCAAUUGUUUUAUUAGUGGUAUAUUUUAUUAUAAAAAUGUGUUACUCCCUGCACUGUACCCCUGUUACCCUUUUUUCUGUUUGUUCGAUGUAAGCCCUUUCCUUAUUCAUCCUACCCUGCUUCACCUGUUCUACCCAAAGACAGUUUCCCAUUUGUCCGUGUUCAGACAGUUCCACCCCUUGUUGCUGUGAUUUGCCACUCCUGGAAUACUCCUCCCACUCUCCACCCUUUGUUCCAGAAAAGUCCCUAUUCUCCCCAUAAAAGCCAGCAUCCAUGUUUUACAAAUGUUCAUUCUGUGUCA